rnacentral:rRNA from 1 species
AUUGCAGUCUGCAACUCGACUGCAUGAAGCCGGAAUCGCUAGUAAUCGCGGAUCAGAAUGCCGCGGUGAAUACGUUCCCGGGUCUUGUACACACCGCCCGUCACACCAUGGGAGCCGGGAAUGCCCGAAGUCGGUGACCCAACCGUAAGGAGGGAGCCGCCGAAGGCAGGCCUGGUAACUGGGGUGAAGUCGUAACAAGGUACC